UCACAUGACAUUUUAAAACUCAAUUCGUGUUUCACUGCCGCAAGCCAAUGUGUAAGAAUACUGUACAAGGAAAGAGUAAGGUGUCAAUGCCUGAAAUGGCUAAAAACUCCUUUACCCUCAUGGCCGUUUGACCCCUGGGCUAAUAAUGACCCGUGGGAAGCCUGCCUUUGAUAGUUCCCCUCUUAGGGGAUGCUGGAGUCCAGAUCCCAUCGUCCCCAGCUCAGCCCAUGCAGAUUAGCACUAUGGCACUAUAAAUAAAGACACUUCCCUCUGAUUCCCGAAGUUAAGAAAGCAGUUUCUAUUCCAAAGCGAUAAAUUACCUUCACUUCCUCUCUUGACCAACUUCUCUUUAAUUCUGCUCAAAAGAUCGCAAAAGGCACCGAGGGGCUGGAGAAAUGGCACACAGAAGAGGAAGUCACACCAAGAGAGAAAUGUUGCAUUUUCUCUGAGUGGCUGGCUGUGAGCUUUUAAACCUCAGCAAGGUGUGAUUUUUAUUUUUAUUUUAUUAUUAUUUUUUGCAAGACCUGGCCUGCAAACAGCAAACUUGUAAGUAGCCCUCCGUGGAUUUCAUUUUUUUCCCCCUGGGUUUUAAAAAAGCCGAGAAGAGCGGAGACCCAAAUCCUUUCUUCUGCUGGAAUACGUACUCUUCCUCCGAACGAACGGGAUGGGAGGGCUUUUCCUGGCUGGGCUGCUGGCCUUGCACCUCGGUCAUCUGGCGCAUGCCACGUGCCCCUCGUGGGACAGGGGCCACAACGCCACCUGCACCUGCGAGGAGGCCAAGGAUCUCUACACUGCCUGCCUCAACUGCACGCCCAGCGCGGCGUGCCAGUGUACCUCCUCCUCCUCCCAGGGCCGCUUGAACCUAACCGACUUCUAUGCCCAGGAAUGCCACGGGAGCGCCACGAGAGCGGCCCUGUACGUGGCCAUCAUCUUGCCACCUGUGGCUCUGCUUCUGGCGGCCCUCCUGGUCUACGCCUUCGUCCAGAGGAGAAAGGUGGCCUCCCUUGGCCACGACAAGCGGGCCUCCAAGGCCUCCGACGCUGGCCUCGGGCAGCCGCGCUACAUCAGCCACACCAGCCCGCUGGGAGACACGGCCAGGAGCCCCCCUGGCCACCAGGAGUACGAGAACGUCUUUGUGGACCAGCCCCAGGGGGCCCGAGGGGGCCGGAGCGAACGCCGGUCCAGAAUGCCAUCAAAGACCAGGCCACCCUCCAAAGUGAGGGACACGGACAGCACCCACAACGACCAGCCCAUCUAUGCCAACACUCAGGAUGUGUAUUACAACUAUGUCGGCCGCCCCGCCACGCAGGAAGUGCACAACGAAGGGGUCUACGUGAUUCCGGAUCAGUGACUCACCGGCCCGCAAGCCUGUGAUUCCCGCCCGUACUAAAGAUCUCCUCUUUCAAUUAAUGCUUGUUUCAUUGGGACAUUUUGCUUUCGACGGUUGGGGGGGCAGGGCUGGAGGGGGAAGACAUGGGUGUGUGUGUGGGGGGAAACCUCCUUUGUGAUCAAUGCACCUGCCAUUUGGUUUGCUGAGCUGUCUUGCGCCACCAAAACCCCGCUGCCAACCCUCUCUUAAAUCUGAUUGCAACGGGUGCAUUGAAUCAUAAUUUCAUAAUAUUUCCACCCACCUACCCGCGAUUUAUCAACACAAGUGCGAGAGAGAUAAGGAAACUGACUCUGUGGUUGACCUGCAAGGGAUGGCAUCGCUCCUGCUUUUAGAAAAUGGAUGAAAAUCCUGUGGCAAGUUGGGCUCCAUUUUAUGUUCUGCAAAAAUGGGCAAGGUUUUCGACUUUCCAGGACUCUUUGUCACGUUAGAUCUGGAAGGCGGAAAAUAUGUGGAGGAUGGGAGAAGAAACAAAAAAGCUCCCACAUCUGGCCAGAUGUGAUGGCCACAAGGACUGUGACAGAAGAGACUGUCUGUCUGAAUCCUACACUUAACUGUGCUAGUCUACCUGCCUAGACAGAAUGCUAUUCCACUGCAAGUUCUGCUCAGCCCCAUAAAAGUAUACCUUAAAGCCUUGAGCGGAUUUCAUCGCCUCCAAUUUUUUCAGAAUUUGGAGUUAACUCUCAACAAAUAACAAGCUACCUGCAACUCACUCCUUUCCAGAGUAAUUCCAUCCUAAUACAUGUAUAUUACCAUUGGAACAUAACUGCCUUUGUAGUAACUUCUAGUAACUACUAGUUAAUCGGUAGAUAUGGGCGCUGUCGCACUGCCUAAGGGUGUGUGGGACCACAGAUCAGCUGCUUUCACCAGUUUGAUGCUAGAGUAAGAAAAAAAACAUCAGUAAGCAGAAAUAACUUAAGUCUGAGGAAGUAAAUUGACGUUCGAAUAUUGUGGUCAGUCUGUAAGGCACCACAUCAUUUUUGUCUUCUUUGGGGUUUCCCCCCCCCUUUUCCUUUUCCCUGAUAGACCAGCACAGACAAACACAGAUACCUCUUCUCAAACUACAAAAAAAAAUCACUUACCUUUCAGACCCGGGAAACAAGUUACUUGUAACUGUGCUGGUCAACUGGUCAAACUGGAACUAGAAUGGGGAUCGAGGGUGGCCUUUGGCCCUGACAGGGUGUAAGCGGAGGGGGGGGGCGAAACCAGAGCAAUGACAAGAAUGCCAGAGCAUGUUUUGAGCAGUGCAACAGUAAUUGAGGUUAAUUACCUUUUCUUUCCAAGAAACUUGUCCAGGUUCUGCUAUUGUUUACAGCUCCGAGACUCUGGUUUCCCCCAACUCUGCAAAAACACAGAAUUGAAAACAGAAGCAGGAAACCCUCGGUCUUUGUAACUGAAGAACCAGGUGCAUUUUCCUAUGAGCAGCCGUGAAACGUGAUCCUUGUUUAUCCUUUACGUGAAACCCACUUCCUAGGAAUGGAACCGGGCCCACCCUAUUCCACCCCUCCAGGUGCUUCCUCGCGCCCGAACCCUCAGGGUGUCUCCCCAUCGGGCCAAACCUGUAAUUGUGGACGUCAGCCGUGGGAGCAACGGGUCUCCCUGCCUCUCCCAGAUAAGGUAGUGGAGCAAAAAACAAACCUGGAGGGAUCAUGCAAGGACAGGGCACGGGGUGCAAGGUGAACCAGGUUCUGGGUGCAAGGGGCUCUUUCACUCAGUACGUGAGUUACUGGGACAGUAAGUGCUGGGAAAUGAGAAAGGGGUGGACCAUCUGGAGGGAACUAGUGAAAAGUGCAGAGGGAAUAAUUUUUCAAUUAUAAUUCUGGAGAGGCAAGUGUAUAAAGGUGGCCAUGCACUAGCUAGCCCCUCGUGGCCACCUAUUUCCCGUAUUAAACGGUGGUAUGCUUGGGAGGUGAGAACCAGGGUGGUAUACAGUGGGGUCUUGACUUAAGAACGGCUCGAGUUAAGAACAUUUUGACUUAAGAACCACUCUCAUAGGAAAAUAUUGACUUGACUUACAUACUUAGAUUUGAGUUAAGAACUGAAAAAAAACCACGUGGGAGGCAGGGAAAGUGCAAAAUGUGAACUUUCAGUUAACUGUUGGCCAGUGAAAAGGGUGCCUGUCUGCUUCCUCACUCCUCCCAGCGUUUAGAGAGUGGAUUGGGAGACAGUCUUCGGACUGCCUGGUACUGCCUGGACUGUAUUUUCCCUGCCUUCCCUGAACCUUUCUUGACCUAAGAAAAAAAGAAACAAAAUAUCCCCCUCUAGUGGUCGAAGGCGGAAUAGCAGCUUCCCAUUAGUUUCUAUGAACGGAAAAGAGCAGAUACGGAUCAAAUGGUUCUCAAUGCAUUCCUAUGGGAAAUGCAGAUUUGACCUGAGAACUUUUUGACUUGAGAACCGCCUUCCAAUACGGAUUAAGUUCUCAAGUGAAGACCCCACUGUAGCUGAUAAAUUGUUGGAGUUUAUACAACCUUCUGUGUUACCUGUAGCUUAUUUGGUUGGGAGGGACUUUAGAAUGAGUAUAAACAGACAAUUUAUUUAGUCUCUCCAGCGGUAACCCAUCAUUCCUUCCAGCCUCUGAAUUAAAAGGCAGCCCCGGCUCUCUGCUCUGUGUCCCUUUCCCUCUCUUGGCCCUGUGUCCCUUUCCCUCUCUUUGGUCCGCUGAAGUCAGUUUUGUUGAAAGCCGCCAGGUUAGCCAGUUUGCUGUUUGAUCUGUUCCCAACUGGAAAUAAAGAAAGUAGUUGUUAUUCUUUCUCCUCCUCA
rnacentral:lncRNA from 1 species